rnacentral:ncRNA from 1 species
UCUUAUCAAGAGAGGUUGAGGGACUGGCCCGAUGAAACCCAGCAACCGGCACGUGGUGCAGUGGUGCUAAUUCCAGCAGGAGAAUUCCUGAAAGAUGAGA